UACGUGGCAUAUUGUCAAGGACAAAGUUUUACAAGUGCCUAAUUCAUCAUAUUUUAGUUUCCUUUUUAUUAUUAAGAUUUUGGGGAAAUUUAAGGGGGCCUUUGUAAUUUCUCAAGAAUUGCUCCUUUUCUAUUUCUUUGCUUGAUGGACAAGCAGCAAUAACCAUCCAAGUUCACUUUCAUGAAUUUCCUCAAGAAUUCCGUUAACGCCCACAAUUUAUUUCUCUCCUCUAUUGCCUGAGUUUAUCAUCGAGCUUAUGCUCGUCCAUUAUUUCACACUUACAAUCAGAUUUGACCCAUAGUUUCUUCAUUAAAGAUAUAGAUAUUUUCGAGUUGUCCAAUUUAGGCGCAAAAAUCAUUCAAUUCCGACUCCCGAGCUAAGAGAUAUGCCUUCUGCACUGUUUUCGUGCUGCUAUUCAACGAACUACCACUAUAACUAUUGUUGUUCUCAUUUUGUCAUUUAUUGGAGAAUUAUUCACGAGGUUCAAGUUAGAGAAUGGUGAUCGAGGAUUAUGGAUGAAAUAAAUAUGAUUGUUAUUUUUGAGUUAAUAAGGAAAUGAUCAGCAUUUAAGGUUGUGUCGAAGCUCAGGUGGGAUUCAAAUGGAGCUUGAUUGUAUUUCAGGGAUUCAAAUUAUGUGUUAUAUAUUAAGGUUGUAUUUAUUUGUGAGAUUAGUUUACGAAAUGUUGUAAGUGUGAUUGUGAGUUAAGGUUUAUUAUUUAUUCAAGGAUUAUUCAUUCGAGUUAUUUAAGGUUAUUUUGUGGGCUCAUAACCCACAGGUCCAA